CUCCCGCAGAGCAGUGGCCGCUGCGCGUUCUUUCUGAACAGCAUCAUUCUCGCGACGAGAAGAGCUACAGCUAGUGUCAUUCUUCACAUUUCCAAUGAAUUAUCAUCGCAUUCCUAUGUCUGCCAGCUGACAAUCUGUGAAGUAUCUUCUACGCUUGGAAACGGGAUUCGCUUGAUUUGUCAACUGGGUGUGUUUCAGUUUCUGUGAUUUGUUGGACUUGCUGUUGUGCGGUGGUGAUACUGGACCAUGGCACAGACCAACAAUCUGCAGAACACCAAUGGGGAGGCCGAUGACUCACCCAACAUGCUAGUCUACAGGAAGAUGGAGGAUGUGAUAGCCCGCAUGCAGGAGGAGAAGAAUGGAAUACCGAUACGCACAGUGAAGAGCUUUCUAACCAAGAUUCCCAGUGUCUUUUCAGGUUCUGAUAUUGUCCAGUGGAUGCUGAAGAACCUGAGCAUCGAAGAUCAAGUUGAAGCGCUGCAUCUGGGCACUCUGAUGGCCGCACAUGGAUACUUCUUCCCCAUCUCAGAUCACGUGCUCACACUCAAAGACGACAACACGUUCUACAGAUUUCAGACACCAUACUUCUGGCCUUCAAAUUGCUGGGAACCAGAGAACACUGACUAUGCUGUUUACCUGUGCAAGAGAACGAUGCAAAAUAAAGCACGUCUGGAGCUGGCUGAUUAUGAGGCUGAAAGCUUAGCCAGGUUACAGCGAGCCUUUGCCAGGAAAUGGGAGUUUAUUUUUAUGCAAGCCGAAGCACAAGCAAAAGUGGAUAAAAAGCGAGACAAAAUUGAGAGGAAAAUUCUUGACAGUCAAGAAAGAGCCUUCUGGGAUGUGCACAGACCAGUGCCAGGGUGUGUGAAUACGACAGAGGUGGACAUAAAGAAAUCCUCCAGAAUGAAGAACCCCCACAAAACAAGAAAGUCUGUAUACGGCCUUCAGAAUGACAUCCGCAGCCACAGCCCCACUCACACACCUGCCCCCGAGGCCAAGCAGCCUACCGUGGAGGAGCUGCAGGAACAGAUCAAAUUUUGGCAAGCGCAAUUAGACCGGCAUCGAUUGAAAAUGUCCAAAGUGGCAGAGAGUUUACUGGGUUAUACAGAGCAGUACGUGGAGUACGACCCCUUCCUUACAACUCCCGAUCCCUCAAAUCCAUGGAUCUCAGAUGAUGCAACAUUCUGGGAGCUGGAGGCCAGUAAGGAGCCUACCCAGCAGCGAGUGAGGCGUUGGGGCUUUGGUAUCGAUGAAGUCCUGAAGGACCCUGCUGGAAGAGAGCAGUUCCUGAAGUUCCUAGAAUCGGAGUUCAGCUCAGAAAACCUGAGGUUCUGGUUGGCGGUGCAGGAGUUGAAGAGGAGGCCCAUCCGGGAGGUGCCAACGAGGGUACAGGAGAUCUGGCAGGAGUUUCUCGCGUCUGGGGCGCCCAGUGCCAUUAACGUGGACUCCAAGAGCUACGCCAAGACCACUCAGAAUGUCAAAGACCCAGGCCGCUACGCCUUUGAGGACGCACAGGAGCACAUAUAUAAGCUGAUGAAAAGUGACUCUUACAGCCGCUUCAUCCGAUCCAGUGCCUACCAGGAGCUUCUGCAGGCCAAGAAAAAGGUAAUGGCUCCCAGUCCAAAAGUGCACUGUAUCUUCUGACCCCCUCCCAGUCCGAUUGCCCACCCAACCAUCCCACGGGAACCGUGGCCUCUUCACUUAAGCCUGAAGACCCGCUCCGUUACUGGACCAUCCACAGAGACCCAUUGCGGCGUGACAGCCGCGCAGAGCACAUGACAGCCAGUGCUCCCUACGUUCUUUCAUAUCUGCCACUCUUAACAUGGAGGAAUGUUUCAAUGUGAUUUCAUAUGUGCCACUCUUAACAUGGAGGAAUGUUUCAAUGUGAUUUCAUAUGUGCCACUCUUAACAUGGAGGAAGGUUUCAAUGUGACUUGUGUUCUAGGGACAAACUGUGACAAACUGUUUCGGAAUUGAAGCUGAGUUCUGAGUUACUUUCCUUCACUUCAUUCAUCUUAUGUGUAAAUGGUAGUUGUUGGGUGGGGGGUGGGCGUAAGCAAGACCCAUAUAUGAAGUAAAGUUUGUGAGCGUUCCCAAUUAGGAUCAGUGUGAUUUUGUUAACUGGGCAUCAUCUGGAUCAUCUGGUAAAUGACCACUGUUUGUGUUGACUACGCAUUAGCGUUCAUGUUCAAAUUCAUUUGCAUCAUUUUGAAGUGCUCUUCUCCUGUACAAUGCUCUGUUGCAACUGAUAACAGACAUUUGACCAUCUCCAUUAUUUUCAUUAUUGCAUCCACACAAGCACUGCACACUGAAGUCAGUCGACUGUUAUCAGUUGUAGUACGGACUCCCACACACUGUCUCCGUCUUCACACACUCCUUUGUUUCAGCAGUCUUUUCUUUUUUUCUGGCUUCUCCUCUUUUUCUUUUCUUUUCUUUUCUGUCUGUUCUUUUGGUUGCUUUUGCUUCUUUUCUCUCUUGUUUGUGUUGGUUAAAGUCGGCAAUCAUACAGGACCGCAGAACCUCAUUUGAGAAAUUCUCACGCAGUGUGGUAAGUGGACGCGCUCUCCAUGUGUGGUCAGUUAAACAGCCAAUCAGACGCUCUGUUUGGUCUGAUAAAGUCUGCAUCGGGCUUUAUCCAUCCGUAACCCCAUGUGACGUAACAUUCAAUCACGUCCGUGUAGGCAGUCUAAAAACUCUUUUGAUUUCAGGACUUCCUCAAAUCAACAGCCCUCGCCCUCCCCUGCUCUUGUCCUCCUCUGCCUUGUCCUCUCCUGACCUUGGCUAACUUCCUCUCCUCUCCUCUCCUCUCCUCUCCUUUCCUCUCCUCUCCUUUCCUCUCCUCUCCUCUCCUCUCCUCUCCUCUCCUCUUCUCUUCCCUCCUCAACUCUGGUCUUUGAUGUUGCUUGCUUCUUCUAAAUGAAAUUGCUUGAUGACAAAACCAUAACAAUGCAUUUGCAGACCUCAUUCACCAGUUCAAUGUUAAGUGAGUUCACAGGGUUCCGCUGGGUGCGAGUGAAGUGUCUCUUAGCAGGUUUCCUACCCAUGCCACUUUGUUUCCAGUAGGGUCUAAUUUGCGUAAUUUAACUGAAAUUAUGAAUCAAGAUUGAAUUUGGGCUCUUGUAAUUUAUUUACAAGAUGAAAACAGUGUAUUUGUCAGCUGUGCCAUCUGGUUUAGCUUGCACAUGCUCAGGAGAGGAUUUGAGUUGUCACUGACAGAUGCACUUUCUACAUUUCCCUUUUCUUUUUUGUUUGUUACACAUUUUUGGCUUCUCAAAGUCGCUACCUCGCCAAAAUGUCUCCCUCUUAUUUUCUUUACUCUCUCUCCUUGUCCACAGAAAAGUAAGAACUUGUUUUGAGGGAUAUUUGCUUCCAGGGGAAAUCUCUCACCUCAAAAAGGUGAGCUGCUCUUGUGUGGUCAAGCUGAAACCCAGAGACUCUGAAGCCACUGGACAAGGACAGUCUUUUUCUCCAUCUCAUCUGGUUGGUCCAUACCCACAGACAAUGGACUUCGAACCAGAUGUUGCAUGUCCAAGGGACUGAUUUUCUACAUCCCUUAUUCUGGUUUUGUUUCAGUAAUCUGAAGACAACAUUUUUUGUGUUUGUUUGGACUUCCGGAGACAUUUUGAAACUUGGAUAUAAUGCCUUUUGAAGCUGUCUGAUGCUCAGUCCCUUCCAUGUAUAUCAGAUGGAUUUGACAUCAGCUUGUCCAUUCUUAACUUAAAAUAGAGAUGAAAAAAGGCAAAAAAAACAUCAUAGUCAAGAGAAUCUGCAUAGAUACAUUCUGUGAGACAUCACAAAUAUUAAUUAACGAAAUAGUCACACUAGAGGAGGUGUUAACGAGGCACGCGUAAGAUGACACCUAUUUUCAUCUGCAUUUCGUUUGUUACACUAAGGAAAAUUCAGAGAGAAAAAAAUACACACAACUUAGCACAGUUUACCAUCGCACUUGUGAAGUCACAUUGAAAAUGUUAUGGAAAUGAUGCCACCAACAACAGGCUCUGUCUUGUCUUAUGUAGUCAUUAAUUCUUUGUUACUCUCUUCUUCAUUUAUUUUUAUACCAUAUUUAAAGACACUUUUAAUUAAAAUGUAUUAAA